rnacentral:rRNA from 1 species
GACGAACGCUGGCGGCGUGCUUAACACAUGCAAGUCGAACGGAAAGGCCCUGCUUGCAGGGUGCUCGAGUGGCGAACGGGUGAGUAACACGUGGGUGAUCUGCCCCUUACUUUGGGAUAAGCCUGGGAAACUGGGUCUAAUACUGGAUAGGACCAUGCUGUAGGUGGUGUGGUGGAAAGAUUAGUUUCGGUAAGGGAUGAGCUCGCGGCCUAUCAGCUUGUUGGUGGGGUAAUGGCCUACCAAGGCGUCGACGGGUAGCCGGCCUGAGAGGGUGGACGGCCACAUUGGGACUGAGAUACGGCCCAGACGCCUACGGGAGGCAGCAGUGGGGGAUAUUGCACAAUGGGCGCAAGCCUGAUGCAGCGACGCCGCGUGGGGGAUGACGGCCUUCGGGUUGUAAACUCCUUUCAGCCAUGACGAAGCCCUUGUGGUGACGGUAGUGGUAGAAGAAGCACCGGCUAACUACGUG